rnacentral:rRNA from 1 species
CCUACGGGUGGUAGCAGUGAGGAAUAUUGGUCAAUGGCCGAGAGGCUGAACCAGCCAAGUCGCGUGAGGGAAGACGGCCCUACGGGUUGUAAACCUCUUUUGUCGGGGAGCAAAGCGAACCACGUGUGGUUCAUUGAGAGUACCCGAAGAAAAAGCAUCGGCUAACACCGUGCCAGCAGCCGCGGUAAUACGGAGGAUGCGAGCGUUAUCCGGAUUUAUUGGGUUAAAGGGGUGCGCAGGCGGAGGUGCAAGUCAGCGGUAAAAUUGCGGGGCUCAACCCCGUACUGCCGUUGAAACUGCAGCCCUUGAGUGCGCGAGAGGUGUGCGGAAUUCGUGGUGUAGCGGUGAAAUGCUUAGAUAUCACGAAGAACCCCGAUUGCGAAGGCAGCUUACUAAACUGUGACUGACAUUGAUGCUCGAAAGUGUGGGUAUCAAACAGGAUUAGAUACCCGUGUAGUC